GUGUGGGUAAAACUGAGGUGCUGCAAGAGGGGCCUGCGUCCGAUUAGCUAGUUGGUGAGGUAAUGGCUCACCAAGGCGAUGAUCGGUAGCUGGUCUGAGAGGACGAUCAGCCACACGGGAACUGAGAGACGGUCCCGACUCCUACGGGGGCAGCAGUGAGGAAUAUUGGGCAAUGGGCUAACGCCUGACCCAGCAACGCCGCGUGGAGGAUGAAGGUUUUUGGAUUGUAAACUCCUUUUGUGGGGGAAGAGUGAGGACGGUACCCCAAGAAUAAGUCACGGCUAACUACGUGCCAGCAGCCGCGGUAAUACGUAGGUGACGAGCGUUAUCCGGAAUUAUUGGGCGUAAAGCGCCCGCAGGCGGCUGUUCAAGUCUGACGUGAAAUCGCUCGGCUUAACUGGGCGGGGUCGUUGGAAACUGAAUAGCUUGAGGCAAGGAGAGGGGCGUGGAAUUCCCGGUGUAGUGGUGGAAUGCGUAGAUAUCGGGAGGAACAUCAGUGGCG
rnacentral:rRNA from 1 species